AUUGCUUCUUGGCCCUUUGGCUAAGAUCAUGGGUAGUAUCUGUUCUUACCUGUUUAAUAUCUGAUAUGUCCUCUGAGGAGAAUAUAUUAAAUGGAUUUUUGGAAUUGGGAGUUGGAAUAGGAGCUUGCUCCGUCCACUCCACGCAUUGACCUGGUAUUGCAGUAUCUCUAGGAAUGGUACACCCCCU